GAUGAACGCUGGCGGCGUGCCUAAUACAUGCAAGUCGAACGCAUUGUGGUUGAAAUGAUAUGAAGAACUUGUUCAGAUUUGAUUUUCAACAUUGCAAUGAGUGGCGAACGGGUGAGUAACACGUGGGAAACCUACCUCUUAGCAGGGGAUAACAUUUGGAAACAAAUGCUAAUACCGUAUAAUAAUUAAAACCGCAUGGUUUUAGUUUAAAAGAUGGUCUUGCUAUCACUAAGAGAUGGUCCCGCGGUGUAUUAGUUAGUUGGUGAGGUAAUGGCUCACCAAGACAAUGAUACAUAGCCGAGUUGAGAGACUGACCGGCCACAAUGGGACUGAGACACGGCCCAUACUCCUACGGGAGGCAGCAGUAGGAAGUACUUCCACAAUAGGACGAAAGUACUGAUGGAGCAACGCCGCCGUGUGUGAUGAAGGUUUCGG
rnacentral:rRNA from 1 species